UGUUUUGGACGGUUAGUUUUUACGUAAAAAUAUAUACCCGCAAUAGAUUUUAAUUAAAUUAAUUUCCGGAUUAAAUAUUCUUUGGCAUCUUUGUUAACGCAAUUAGUGGUGUAUAGUUUUACCUUUGGAUCCUGCCUUUAUCCCCACAUAAAAGUCGGUCAUUGUUCAUAUCUUUAAAUAUUAUAUGACGUACGGAUAAUAAAUAUUUGUAGGCACUACUGAAUUAUUUGCAUUUCUAUUGUUUUGAUAGGCCUACUUCAAAGUUCAUAAGGUUUGCCUUUCCUUUGACUUUUUUUUUUUCACUGAUGUUUAUAAACAAGGUGACAAAAUUUAAGAGGGAUGGUUACAACAUAAACCCAAAAAAGCCUCAAACAGGUGAGGAAACGGAAAGGAUAAAACAACGAUUAAGACAAACUUAUCAAACCGGUAGAAGAUCAUUAACUAAAGUGUUCUUAAGCCAAAAAAGGUAACCCCUAGCCACAUAAGAAUGUAACCGGGCUC
rnacentral:lncRNA from 1 species